UACGUAGGGUCCAAGCGUUAUCCGGAAUCACUGGGCGUAAAGGGUGCGCAGGCGGCCGUGUGUGUGAGGCGUGAAAGCCCGGGGCUUAACCCCGGAAUUGCACCUCAAACUACAUGGCUAGAGCAUUGGAGAGGGUAGCGGAAUUCACGGUGUAGCAGUGAAAUGCGUAGAUAUCGUGAGGAACACCAGAGGCGAAGGCGGCUACCUGGACAAUUGCUGACGCUCAGGCACGGAAAGCGUGGGGGAGCAAAAGGG
rnacentral:rRNA from 1 species